rnacentral:hammerhead_ribozyme from 1 species
ACCUAUCUGACGAGUCUCAAAUAAAACGAAAUGCGCAUCAAACUGGAU